rnacentral:rRNA from 1 species
CACUCCUACGGGAGGCAGCAGUGGGGAAUUUUGGACAAUGGGCGAAAGCCUGAUCCAGCAAUGCCGCGUGAGUGAAGAAGGCCUUCGGGUUGUAAAGCUCUUUUGUCAGGGAAGAAACGGUGAGAGCUAAUAUCUUUUGCUAAUGACGGUACCUGAAGAAUAAGCACCGGCUAACUACGUGCCAGCAGCCGCGGUAAUACGUAGGGUGCAAGCGUUAAUCGGAAUUACUGGGCGUAAAGCGUGCGCAGGCGGUUUUGUAAGUCUGAUGUGAAAUCCCCGGGCUCAACCUGGGAAUUGCAUUGGAGACUGCAAGGCUAGAAUCUGGCAGAGGGGGGUAGAAUUCCACGUGUAGCAGUGAAAUGCGUAGAUAUGUGGAGGAACACCGAUGGCGAAGGCAGCCCCCUGGGUCAAGAUUGACGCUCAUGCACGAAAGCGUGGGGAGCAAACAGGAUUAGAUACCCGAGUAGUCCCA